GUUUCUGGAAGACAGAGACCCCAGCGAUAGUCAUCUAUAAGUUGUACUGUUAAAAGCACAGAAUAAGCAUUAAUAGAGGCAGAAACCAAAGUGAGGUUGGAUUAGAGAUAACUGCUCUCCACAAGAGUCUCAGAGGGUUUAGGAUCUUCUCAAUGCAGAGUCUGUCAGAAUUUCAAAAUGCCGGGGGCAGGGAGCCUGCCUGUGGACAGCCCAGGGCAUGGGACCCGCCAUGUUUUGAUGUUGGGUGUGGUAGCAUUUCUGAAAGCCGUCACAACCUUUCAGCACCAGAAACAGAGCCCAAAUUUAAAGGAGUGGGGGCGCAGAGACCAAGGUUAUACUUCAGUUUUAUACCGAAACUAAAAGGUUGAAUUAUGUUUACGAUAAAAGGUAAAGAUUGCAGAGAAGAGUACUUAAAGUCUAGAAAAGGAAUAAAGUACCUGAGCAAAAGGUCGUAGAGAACCUAUUUGGUGGCAGCCACUGAAUUCAUACCAAUUUGGGACUUCUGCUGGUGACAGUAGGAACUGCCGACCCCUGUAAUUGCCAUAUUCAUAAGUAACCCAUCUGGGAAAAAGAAGUGGAAAACCACAGUAAGCGGCAGUAUCCCUUUAACAGUUGCCCCUGAUUAUAUUUUUAUAGUGCUUCCAAGUUUUACACGGAGCUUUAUACUUUAAAUAUACAUUGGGAGAGAAAAAGAAACUAUUUUCUAAAACACUUAAAGCACCCAUUUAUUGACAAAUAGCAAAUUCUUGGUACAUGAGUAUGCCACAAAGAUCCAUUUUUUUUUCAUGUUUAUUUAUUUUUGAGAGAGAGAGACACCAUGAGUGGGGAAGGGCAGAGAGAGAGAGACACAGAAGCGAAAGCAGGCUCCAGGCUCUGAGCUGUCAGCACAGAGCCCGACACGGGGCUGGAACUCACGAACUGUGAUAUCAUGACCUGAGCCCAAGUCAGAUGCUUGACCUACUGAGCCAUCCAGGAUCCUAUCUUGAAGAGAAAUAGGACAAAUCACAAGCUCUGGCCAGGCUUGGCCUUUCUCUGGAGGUCUGGGUGUUCAUGCACUCCGAAGCUAAGGAGAGGACAGGCAGGAAAUUUUCUACUACAUGGAAAGGUGGGUAAAUAUAACUGUUUUAAAGCUCUGAUAUGGAGGGGGCCAUAUCCUAGGCACAAAGGAAUGGGUAUAUGUAUUGAAUCAACACUUGUAAUGAAAUUUAUUUUCAAUUUUGCCAUUGUUUAUUAGGGAAAAGGAGGGGCUGGAAAGCCAUGGACAUAAAUGGUGAGGGUCAGAGGACUAUGGCUGUCUUUGGGGUCUAGUGGUAACAGUGGUAAUUACCUAAUCAAAGAAACUUCCCCUUGUAUGCAUUUUCAAAUGUCUUUUUUGUUGUUGUUGUUGUUUUGUCACUAAGACAACGAUUCUUUAUACUCAUGCUCCCAAACUUUCCUAUAGGAAUAAUUGUUAAAAGGAGAGAAAAAAUCCAGUGUGGAAGCUGCAUGUUCAAGCCAUCAGUCAUUUUAAAGAGGACAAGGGCACAGAAGUCCAUUCAUUUUCAGAAAAUAAAAAGCAGAUUAUACUUCUUUUUCAAAUCACAGUUUGAAACUGACCCUAGUCUAAGCUCUAAUGAUAAUAAUCCUAAGAUCAUAAAUAAUACAUCAAAAAUUACCUACCUGCUUAAAGUUUUGUGAUUAGGGUGUGGUAACUUACUGCUUCAUUGAUGUGGAUGUGCCCUGACAUGUACAAAGAUUUCUGCCGACCAGUAAACAGAGCAGAUUAGUGUGUAGAGGUGGUUUGUAUAGUGUAGGAAUUAGGUUAUAUAAAAUAUACUAGAAGGAAAUGACGUAAAUAUCACAAGUGGCUGAGCAUAUCCACCAAGUACUAGGUGAAGGAAGGCAUUUGGAAACUGCAACGGCAGUGGGUUUGGUUUUUUUGUUUUUUGAAAAUAUAUUUGGAGAUAGCUGUUAGAAUUCUAGGGUGGUUAAAUACCAAAGUUUUAGAUAUUUCACUGUAAGUUAGUGAAUCUUAAACACCAUAUGAUGUUUCACUGAUACUAUUUUCACAUCUAAAGAAACGGUCAACAUUUUAGUUAUUUGAACAGGCAGGGAGGAGAUAAAGCCAUCUCAUGUAUGUUCUUUCUACCUGUAAAACUGAAGUCACCGAUGACAUAUGUUUUAAGCUUUUUAUAAGAGAUCAGCUACAAAAAAAACUAACAAAUAUUUCCAAAACUACAGACACACCCAGAGUUGAACAAUCAGAACAUUAUCUUGCUGUUUUAUUGUACUGAAUAUUGCUUUAGCUACAUCAAAAAUUAAAGGUUUCUAUGCAAAAAGGGGCACCAUAAUCUAAAGGAGCACAUGUGUGAUAAACUGGGAGAAGACGUGAUUGCAAAUUUCUAAGACAACAAAGCGAUAGAUUUAAAAACUAUGAAGAAUUUCUGCAACCCAGUGACAACAAAAGAUACAGAAAACUUAAUAAAGAGUUUGGCAAAGGAUAUAAAAACAGACUAUUCACUGAAUAGAAAAUCCAAAUGACUAGUGCAGGAGAUACUGGUGAAACAUAACACAAUGAGAAAAUACUUUCUACCUAAUUUCUUCAAAUUGACAAAAGUCAGAAAAUAUUCAGUAAUGGCAAUGAUGGAGAAAAUGAAUCCACAUGCUCUGCCAGCAAAGAUCCCAAGUAGUGGAAUCUGGCAUUACUUAGAGAAGCUGAAUAUUCAUGCACAUGGAAUCCUGCAAUUCUACUUUUUAAAUAUAUAUCUCGAAGGGAUUCCCACACAGGUCAACGGGGAUACGUGUGCAUGUGAGGAUAAAGUAAAAUAAAAAACAUUUUAUAAGAAUAUCUAAGCUGUAUCCCAAACACACUAGAAUGGGUACCUGUAAAGGAGAGAGGAAUAAAAAUAGGGAUCAGGUAUGCAAUGGAAGAAAGACAGGAGAGGGGCCUUGAACGAACCCCUGAUGACUAUACCACGACUGACUGAACACCCUUGACCUGAAGUCUGAGAAAACAGCAAAGAAAGUCAACUUCUAUGUUAAAGCUCUGAAAAGAGACCAAAAAGUUAUAGGCUGGAACGUUCUAUUGCAACUGUUUUCUGUGCCUCUGACUUUAAGUCCUGAGGAAGCCUCCCUGCUGGUUUCCAUCAGCUGCAUGAACCACACAUCUCUGUGACGCCAUAUUCACACUGACAUUUUUAUACUUACAACAUCUAUAAAACGAAGAGACUUGAAAGCUGCUUCAGGCAGGCAUCCCAUCGCGGAGACACAAGGGUAGUGGCCUUCUUCCAACACGUACUGAUUACCAGAGAAAUUUUCUCCAUCAUAUGCAACCCAGCUAUGACAGGAAAAAAACAUAGACGUGUACAAUAUGUAAUUUGAAUAUUCCUAUUCAAGAAUAGAUAGCCUGCUAUAUAUAAAACACAAUGCCGGUGGCUAACUGUUCUGUCUCCAAAAAUAUCUAGACCUGUUUACUUUUUUCCAUUGUGUUGCAAAUGAAUAUUCAUAAGUCAGUUGUUAAUUUUGCAUUUGGGAAACAAAGUUUUUCUCCCCAAAAUCUUCAGUUUCUAUCUCUGCACCUUCCAGUACUCCUUGCUCCCCUCGUGGGUGCCACCAUCCUCUAGCCCUUGAGUCCUCUCUGAAUAAUCCUUCAACCUUCACAGCUAAUCAGUCACCUUGGGUCUACCAACAUCCUUCCCAAAUGCCUUCCCUUUAUCCUCAUUUCCAGCGCCUCGGUACUGGGCCAUGAGUCAAACUACCAUAGUGACUUAGACAAGUCAUUUAGCCCCUCAGGGCCCCAGCAUUACUAGUAAGAUGGUGAUUUUCCAUGCUUCCUUAGAAGAGGUGGGGCUUUUUGUUUGUUCUUUUAAUCCAAGGAAGCUUACUGAGGACUAAUUGUAGAUCAGGUACUUUUCCACUGCUGGGGAUAGGACAGAGGACAAAACGAAGUCCCUGCUAUCAUAAAAUCUACACUCUGGUGAGCUGAGACAGACAACAAAUGCACAACAACAAAAGUAGCUGUCUGGUAGUAAGAAGUGAAGCAGGGCAGGGGAUAAAGAGGAACUAGGACAGAGACGGAGGUGUGUGCUAAUAAACAAAAUCUUUACUGUAAAUCUGUGCACUUGAAUGCAAAGCCAGUGCUGUUUCCACUGUGCAGUGCUAACCGAUAUGGUGCUAUUUACACCAUAAAGAACUGUAUGAUUAAAGACACUAUUACUAUUAUUAUUAUUAGACUUAAUUCCUCAUCACCUUCUGCACAGUUUGCUCCAAGUGUUUCCUAGCCAACUUUCCCUGACCUUGGGCUCUCCCCUCCCUGUAAAGCUUUUAUGAAACUAUUUUCAGCACGGCACUUUGGGCUCAUGCCUUUCUUUCCCUUCUUAUGAUUACACUGUUGUCAUGCAGAAUGCCUAUCUACCGGGGCGCCUGGGUGGCUCAGUCGGUUCAGUGUCCAACUUCGGCUCAGGUUAUGAUCUCACAGUCCGUGAGUUUGAGGCCCACAUCGGGCUCUGUGCUGACAGCUCGGAGCCUGGAGCCUGUCUCCGUCUCUCUCUCUGCCCCUCCCCUGCUCGUGCUGUCUCAAAAAUAAACAUAAAAAACCUUUUUUUAAAGCAUGCCUAUCUACCUGUAAAAAAAAAAAAAAAAAUCCACCUUGGGAGGCACCUGAGGGAUUAUUAGAGUCCCGUUAUGGUGACAGGACAGGCUAGAGAGUAGAGAACCUGGUCUGAAUCCCAUUGCACAGUGACAUGGUGAUUUUCAACUUCUCCAUCCAAAGCGAUCCCAUGUCCUCUGCCCAGUGCUCAGAUGCUACAAGGUGCACCUCAGUACUAACAUGGUCUUGUACCGUUGGUGGUUUCAUAUAGUGCCAAACACCUAGGGAUGUCCCUAAAGAUUUGCUGAUUCGUGCAUUCUACUCUCCCGGGGAUUGGGCCCUGCCAGUCCACCGUUUUACUUACCUGCCUCCUAAAACUCUGCAAGACUUGGUAGAAAACGAAUCAUCAAUUUGACUUGUUGUUUCUUCGAAACCUAGACUGCGACCUUGAAACUGUGGUUCUGAAAACAACUGAAUCUUUGAAAAAGUAAACAAAUAUGUAAGCUUAUUUUCCUAAACAUAUUAACUCAUUCAGCCUUUGAGAUGAUGCAAACAUGACCUGUUAAUAAACUGCUAUGAAUUUUAUAAAUCCUUUAAUUUUCCACUUCUACAUUAAUGAUCAAUUAGAAAUACUCUGGCCACACCAUUCAUGAUUAUUUGAUUCAAAGACAUCAAAGGACAAUCCGACAGUUGAGGCAGCUUUCUAUAGAACACCCUGUCGCAACAAGCUGUGAGGCAUUUUAAAGCUUUAUUGUGGCCAAAAGUAAUUGUUCGUCAGUUCUAACAUUUACAACAAAAUGUAUUUUAGAAAUAUAGUUUUCCUCCCUCUCAAUGGAAGAUACUUGCUGACUUAUUAGAAUCUUGUGUAUGCCAAUAAAGGAGGCUACAGUGGUGUUUGUGCCUCUGUAAUUACGGCUGUCUGAAUUCUGAACACUUCCAUUAAAAAGCCUAAAUAACAAAUGUAACACUUCAGUUGAUGCAGACAGCAUGCAAAGGCUUGAGUGAGAGACCGUAUAAAAUGUUUGUCUAAUGUAGACACAGCAAAUAUGAAAAUUCAUUUUACUGUUUACCACAAUAACUGUAUGUAUUGAGAUAUUAAUCUUAGCGUAUUAAGCAAAUUGAUUCUAUGUAAUGAUAUUAAAUUCAACUUUACAUAAGAAGAACAUUUUAUGUAUGUAUGUCCAUGUCCAGAAUGGAGCCUAAUGCAGGGCUUGAACUCAUGACCCUGAGAUCAAGACCUGAGCUGAGAUCAAGAGCCUAACCAACUGAGCCACCCAGGCACCCCGAGAAGAGCAUUUUAUAAGAAAUAUCUAGAUAUGAGUCAAUGCUCUCAAGCAUUUAUAAAGUAAACCUAAAUCUAACUUAGAAAUACAAUUAUGGUUUGAGGUAUAAAAAUAAGUAAAACUAACAAAAUAUCCCAAAUGUCUGACAUUUUACACAUAAGGUCAGCUUUUCAAUGGAAGGCCCCUAAUUAUAAAAAAUAGAUUAUUUUUUAAAUUACCUGAUUUCGUCUCCUUGGGCCAGUAAAAGAAUCCUAAAAAAUUUUAAGGGGAAGAGAGAAGGAAAUGAGUAGAGCAGACAUCUUGAAAACAUUUUUUUCUUCUAGAUCAUUAGCAAUUACUGUUAAAAAUAACCUCAGAAUAGUUUCUGUACUGUUAAGUAUUACAUGAACCCGAAGUACACAUUAAGGAAAUCCAGAAUUCAGUUAAAUAUUCUCAUACAAAAGUAGAAUUCCUUACCAAAUAUAUGGGUUGAACAGAAGAGAUCUUACAAUUUUUGCCUCCCCAGUCCUCAAAACUGGUAUAGAAACCUUUAUCCAAUAUAUAUUGUUCUCCUGUGAAGUCAGGAUUUUCAUAGGCUACCCAUCUAAAGAAACACAAACAUCUACUUGUCAUAGUUGAUAGUUGACAUGUAUAAUAAAACUAUCAAACACAUUUAAGUAAAUAUGUAUCAUACAGAAAUUUUCAUUUGUUUUAAUAAUCAGUAAUCUUAAUAAUUUUUCUGAUUCUCUAUUAAUCUUUUGGGAGAUCUGUCUGUAUGACAAGUCAAAGUGACAAAUGAAAGAAUAUCUUUACACAAACCUUUUGGUGUAAGAGUCUCUUUACAUGAACUUUUUGGUGUUCUCACAUGUCAAAUCCUAUUCCCUGAGAAAGCUCCCAUGGGGAUAUUUUUUUCGAAUUCUUAUUUAUUUUUUAGAGAGUGUGCAAAUGAACAAGGGGGCAGAGAGAGACAGAGAAUCCCAUGAGGUACAGAGAGAGAGGGAGAGAGAGUGCAGAGCCCUGAGUGGGGGUCGAGCUCACAAACUGGUAAGAUCAUGACCUGAGCCAGAGUCAGACACUGGCUCAGGUGGCCUAAGCCACCCAGGUGCCCCUCUAAUUCUAUUCUAAGGAAACAACAUGGACUUCCAAGAAGUAUCUGUAAAGUUUUUCUUUUAAACUGCUCUUAAAAAUUUUUUUAAAGAUUAUUUAUUUAUUUUGAGAGAGUGAGCAAGCAGGGGAGGGGCAGAGAGAAAGAGAGAUGGAAUCCCAAGCAGGCUCCACACUAUCAGAUAGGCUCCACUCUGAUAGUGUGGAGCCUGAUGCAGGGCUUGAACUCAUGAACUGUGGGAUCAUGACCUGAGCCAAAGUCUGACACUCGAACAAAGUGUCAAAGUCUGACACUCAGCCACCCUGGCGCCCCUCUAAUCCUAUUCUAAGGAAACAACUUGGACUUCCAAGAAAUAUCUGUAAAGUUCUCUUAAAAAGCAAGUAAGAGUUCUUUUUAUUUUUGACAUUAAUAGUUUUCCAGAAAGAGUACAAGAAACUAUGUCUCUAUCACACAAUAAAGCAUAGUGGAAAAAGGUAACAGAAGAAAGGCUUUAAAAAAAUACAGCUAAGUAAAAUUUUAUUUGGAACAGGAUUUCCAAUGUGACAUGACUAUGUAGUAAGCAAAACUGAACAGAUGCUCAGAAACACUAAAAUCUCUUUUGGGAGGUUUUCUUUUGUCACCUUUCAAGUGAUCCACACUCAGGAUAAUUAAACCAGGAUAACAAAACCAACUUAUUGAUGCUACUAGCCAAAGAUAGUCUCUGAAGGGAAUUUUUUCAAUUUCGUUAUAUUCAACAGAUAAUUCUGCACCUCCUGAGUUAAUUCACUGCCCUACUGAUCUGCUCACAGAUGAAAGGAAUAAUACCUAGGUGCUUGUAGACAUACUCACAACUUUCCAAAAUGCUUUCACAUCUAUGACCACAUUUAAUCUAGGGAGGACUGGUUUUCCCAUUUUACAGAAAGGAAAACCUAAAGACACAGAAAAGUUAAUUCCCUGAUUCUUUCAACAAACCUCGACUGGCCAUUUAUCAUAUGCCAGAAACUAAAUGACGCUAGGUGUGUGAGGAGGAAAAGUAUCACACGUAAUUACUUAUUGGUGUUUGUUUUGAACGGGAAGGUGACACAAUCAGUUAGUGGCCAGGGAUGACUGAGUCCAUGAUGGAGUCUCCUGGGGCUCCCCCCACGCUCUCUUCACUUCAUGACCCAAGCUGCCACCGGCCCUGUUAAGUUUCCUUUCAUUUACUCUUCCAUUACACCAGACUUGAAAUAGUCCACACGCUUCAUAAUUAGGACAGAUUAUGAUUUUACUACCAAAAGGGCUUGACUUUAUACAAAAACUCAGAUACAGUCGUUACUAGGAAAUGAACAGCAAUCAAGGAGAAAAAAAGAACACUAAAAAUCUCCAGUGUUACGUAGCUUAUGACAGCUAAUGUCUCUACACACACUUCUGCCCAAAUGAACAGAGUAACUGCUAGAAGGCCAGUCCCGUCAUAUUUCAGAAAACACUACUCCAUUUCAGAACCUCAUUAGCAAUUUUUAAAACCUGUUCUUUAACAUGGUGAGGUCAGGAAUUAGGAGACCUAGUUCCAGCUAUGGUCGGGACAUUAACUUUCAGAUAACUUUGAAGGGCUCACUUAACCUUUGUGAAAGUUCAUAGUCUCAUUUGUAAGUAGAGGGCUUGGCCAGGAUCCCAGGGCUGACAUCAUGUGAGGUUCUAUGGCUCCUGGGAACCUGAGUGUGCGGCUUCUGCUCACACGGCCUUUGCCUCAUGAAGAGAAGCAAAAGCCAAGCAAGAACGUGGAAUCCUGCUAUGUGGGGAGGAGUAGGUGCACGGCAAGAAAAAUCUAU